UGUGAAAUCAUAGCGGAUGAGCGCAACUCGGGAGGCAAAUUGCAGAGGCCUAUGCCUUCAGGCAUCAUAUAUUUCCUCUCAGUGGAAGAUGAACAGAGUCCCUGCAAUGACAAAACCGCGAAUUUGAUGAUUGACCAAUCGAAUUGUUAAUAACCAACGUGAGAGAAGCUGCAAAUCUUAAAUGAAGAUAGGUGCCCGGUGAUCGAUGAAUUGCCAAGGUGAUCAUUAAAUCUUAAAAGCACAAGCUCCAGGAGAGUUCUCGAGGGUCCCUUCCUGAUUAUAGCAGAAUAACUGGCACGGCAAAGUCGAGGCAAAGUCACAAUCAACAUUGUCAGAUUGCACAAGGAGAAGCAGAAAAGGGCAAAGAAGUACUUUUCUCUUAUUAAUAAAACCAGAUUUUGAAAUAAUUUGGCGACAAGUCGGAUUGCAAUCAAGUUGCAACGAAAAUGUAUAUAGAACCGUGAAACAUGCAAUAACUAUGUACAAAGAACAAAACACAACCUCUGUACACUAUUACUCUUGACCAACAAUCAAUUAUAGUCACCUUGAACACCAACAA